GCUCGUGGAUCGAUGAAGACCGCAGCUAAAUGCGCGUCAGAAUGUGAACUGCAGGACACAUGAACACCGACAAGUUGAACGCAUAUUGCACAUCGUACAACAGUACGAUGUACACAUUUUUGAGUGCCUAUAUUUAUCUAUUCAACUAUACGUGCGUGCGCGUCCCACUCCGGGUGGACAGGCGCACGCGGCAACGUAUGCGUAGUGAUGUUUUCCCGACCUUCGGUGGCGGUAAAACAUUGAAGAUAGUCAGGCGCGUUCCUCUCCGGUGGAACGUGGUUGAUGAAUACAUCCCAUGGCACCCACCCCCCAGUGGUCCAGUGUUGUAUUCCAUCUCUCGAACGCAAACGUGUGUCUCCGUAAACACACACACACAGAUCAGUAGGCCUCAAAUAAUGUGUGACUACCCCCUAAAUUUAAGCA
rnacentral:rRNA from 1 species